GAUGAAGAACGCAGCGAAAUGCGAUACGUAAUGUGAAUUGCAAAUUCAGUGAAUCAUCGAGUCUUUGAACGCACAUUGCGCUCCCUGGUAUUCCGGGGGGCAUGCCUGUCCGAGCGUCAUUGCUGCCCUCAAGCACGGCUUGUGUGUUGGGCCCCGUCCUCCGAUCCCGGGGGACGGGCCCGAAAGGCAGCGGCGGCACCGCGUCCGGUCCUCGAGCGUAUGGGGCUUUGUCACCCGCUCUGUAGGCCCGGCCGGCGCUUGCCGAUCAACCCAAAUUUUUAUCCAGGUUGACCUCGGAUCAGGUAGGGAUACCCGCUGAACUUAAGCAUAUCAAUAAGCGGAGGA
rnacentral:misc_RNA from 1 species